rnacentral:rRNA from 1 species
AACGAACGCUGGCGGCAUGCCUAACACAUGCAAGUCGAACGAAGGCUUCGGCCUUAGUGGCGCACGGGUGCGUAACGCGUGGGAAUCUGCCCCUCGGUUCGGAAUAACAGUUAGAAAUGACUGCUAAUACCGGAUGAUGACUUCGGUCCAAAGAUUUAUCGCCGAGGGAUGAGCCCGCGUAAGAUUAGGUAGUUGGUGGGGUAAAGGCCUACCAAGCCGACGAUCUUUAGCUGGUCUGAGAGGAUGAUCAGCCACACUGGGACUGAGACACGGCCCAGACUCGUACGGGAGGCAGCAGUGGGGAAUAUUGGACAAUGGGCGAAAGCUUGAUCCAGCAAUGCCGCGUGAGUGAUGAAGGCCUUAGGGUUGUAAAGCUCUUUUACCAGGGAUGAUAAUGACAGUACCAGGAGAAUAAGCUCCGGCUAACUCCGUGCCAGCCGCCGCAGUAA